UCGAGGUGUUUAUCCAAAACCUGAGGUACAGUGGCAGGACAGUGAAGGAAAAAUCAUUCCUGCUGAGGAUCCACAGGUGUCAGAAAGAGGAGGCCGAUUCGACGUGAUCCUCCGAACUACUGUGAACAAAGCCAGCCGCUUCCGCUGUGUAGCCACACAGAAGGAAAUCAGCCACACGAUUCAUGCUGAGACAUAUGUUCCUUUCAAAGAAAAAACAGCUGAAGUCAAAGCAGGGUUCUCUGGUGGAUUGGUUGUUGGCCUUGUUCUUGGUGCUCUUAUACUUGGUUUUGCUCUUGGAGCUGGGCUUUGCAUGUUACAAAGACGUAAGAAAAACGGAGGUCCUGAUUAUAAAACCAGUCCAGAAGAGGAGGCUUGAAGUUGACUGCUGAAGUGUGUGUGCUCUUGUAUCUUUUGAUUUUUGUGAGGAUCAGUUUGAGUUUUAGACAAAAACUAUUAAAACAUUUUUGGAGCAGUUGGAGCAUUUUGUCCUCAUUUAUCCAAAGGCUGGCUUUUAAGUUGAGGUUUUAGAGUUAAAGAUAGAAACAUACGACUGUAUAAACCUGUUAACUUUAAGAUGAAGCUUCCUGUCUUACUGCAGCAGGACCAGGAGGGGGCAGUGUAGCUCACUACAUGAUAUCAAAUAGAAAACACUGAAAUACCCAAAAAACAGAGAACAGAACAGUUUCAGCUGCCUAAACCUCAAAGAGAUUAAAAGCUUUAUAAUUUGACUUGUAGCUUGACCAUUAUAACAUUAUUAAUAAAUAUCAAUGAAUAAUGAGAACUGUUGUAGUUGUGAUGGACUACAUUAGAUCUCUGAUCCUCAGCUGAAAUAAACAACCAUCGUAGUCACUCAGACUUUAAAAGAUAAAGUAGAAAUGUGUGCCAAUG